rnacentral:rRNA from 1 species
CUUGCAUCAUGAUUUACAUUUGAGUGAGUGGCGAACUGGUGAGUAACACGUGGGAAACCUGCCCAGAAGCGGGGGAUAACACCUGGAAACAGAUGCUAAUACCGCAUAACAACUUGGACCGCAUGGUCCGAGCUUGAAAGAUGGCUUCGGCUAUCACUUUUGGAUGGUCCCGCGGCGUAUUAGCUAGAUGGUGGGGUAACGGCUCACCAUGGCAAUGAUACGUAGCCGACCUGAGAGGGUAAUCGGCCACAUUGGGACUGAGACACGGCCCAAACUCCUACGGGAGGCAGCAGUAGGGAAUCUUCCACAAUGGACGAAAGUCUGAUGGAGCAACGCCGCGUGAGUGAAGAAGGGUUUCGGCUCGUAAAACUCUGUUGUUAAAGAAGAACAUAUCUGAGAGUAACUGUUCAGGUAUUGACGGUAUUUAACCAGAAAGCCACGGCUAACUACGUGCCAGCAGCCGCGGUAAUACGUAGGUGGCAAGCGUUGUCCGGAUUUAU